CGAUUAUUAACAUUCCAGGUGAUGACAGGGGGAGGGGUAGAGUGGGCGUGGCAGGUCAGGGUGAGGGUUUGCCCCACCCUCAGUGUCAUGUCGCUCGGUGACUCCUUAAACUCCGGCCUCAUGUUAACAGACAGAUGGACUUUGUGAUGUGCAGAACCUGCUGCAUUCAUGGCCACACAGGUGUACACACCUGCAUCAGAGGGCUGAUAAAGGGGAGGAGCCUGAAGAGUUACAUCUUAGUAGCACAAAUUCACUCAAGAGUUAAACAUUGUGUGUGUGUGGGUGUGUGCUGACCUGGGUUCUCUCAAUGAUUAGCUCUCCUGUUCUCAGGACAGUAAAUUUUCCCCGCAGGUUCUGGAUAACGUCUCUGUUUUUCUCCCAGUGAAUCUUGGGUUCUGGAACUCCUUGAGCUAAACAAGGCAGCAGACUCUGGAAGCCCUGGAUGACGGACACUUCAGAUUGACCAACAGGAAUCGUGGGGGGGACUUAAAAAUCCAAAACAUAGCAACAUUUACCACCAAAAUAUCUCAGCAGUUUUACAGUGAAACAAAAUGUGUGUGUGUGUGUGUGUUCUGACCAUGCAGAAUCAGUGUGAUGUCACGGCUCGCUCUGCCUGCGCUGUUCAGGGCUGUGCACGUGUAAACCCCGGCAUGUUCAAAUUGUGCGUUUUUAAUGUGCAGUGUUCCAUUUGUGAAGGUCAGCAGGUUGGCUCCUCCCCUCACAGAGCCACCCAAUUUGUGCCAUUGCAGCUCGGGCUCCGGCAAUCCAAUCGCUGAACAUGGCACACUGACAGACUCACCAACACUGAGAGUGUAUUCAUCACGAGGUACAGAAAUGACAGGAGGAACUGCAGAGAAACACAAAUACACAAACAGACACACUUUAGUGCACUGUGAGACCUGCGAGAUGGGGAGGAGGUAUUUGUAAAUGAGGUAUUCGCAGUAAAUGAGGCAUUCGCAGUAAAUGAGAUAUGUGCAGUAGAAAAGAAUGUGCAGUUAACGAGGAAACUGCAGUAAAUGAGGUAUGUGCAGUAAAUGAGGUAUGUGCAGUAAAUGAGAAUGUGCAGUAGAAGAGAAUGUGCAGUAGAAGAGAAUGUGCAGUAAAUGAGGUAUGUGCAGUAAAUGCGGUAUGUGCAGUAAAUGAGGUAUGUGCAGUAAAUGAGAAUGUGCAGUAGAAGAGAAUGUGCAGUAAAUGAGGUAUGUGCAGUAAAUGCGGUAUGUGCAGUAAAUGCGGUAUGUGCAGUAGAAGAGAAUGUGCAGUUACUGAGGUAUGUGCAGUAAAUGAGGUAACCGCAGUAAAUGAGGUAUGUGCAGUAAAUGAGGUACCGUGCAGGAUGAGUUGAGUUUUGCCCUCUGU
ensembl:lncRNA